rnacentral:rRNA from 1 species
GAUGAACGCUGGCGGCGUGCCUAAUACAUGCAAGUCGAGCGAACGGACGAGAAGCUUGCUUCUCUGAUGUUAGCGGCGGACGGGUGAGUAACACGUGGAUAACCUACCUAUAAGACUGGGAUAACUUCGGGAAACCGGAGCUAAUACCGGAUAAUAUUUUGAACCGCAUGGUUCAAAAGUGAAAGACGGUCUUGCUGUCACUUAUAGAUGGAUCCGCGCCGCAUUAGCUAGUUGGUAAGGUAACGGCUUACCAAGGCAACGAUGCAUAGCCGACCUGAGAGGGUGAUCGGCCACACUGGAACUGAGACACGGUCCAGACUCCUACGGGAGGCAGCAGUAGGGAAUCUUCCGCAAUGGGCGAAAGCCUGACGGAGCAACGCCGCGUGAGUGAUGAAGGUCUUCGGAUCGUAAAACUCUGUUAUUAGGGAAGAACAUAUGUGUAAGUAACUGUGCACAUCUUGACGGUACCUAAUCAGAAAACCACGGCUAACUACGU